UGCCGCACUCAACCUGUUUCCCUUCUUCCUUUCAUUCACACAAACGCAACACAAUUAGAAGCAGCAUCAACGCUGCAAUGAGAAAGAAGAGAAGCUGAAAGGGAGAUAUGAGAGAAGAAGGGUUCAGAGAGGAGGGAGACGCCGUCCUCCUUAUCGCCGGAACCGCGAGGAGCGUCGCCGCCGAAACCGUGCCCUUCGUCCCUGCCCAGUCGUGGUUCUGCCAUCCAUCACCCCAUUCCAUCGCCUGAAGAUAAUCACGACGACGAGAGAGAGAGAGAGAGAGCUCGUGCACGAAGGGAGGACGAAGGGAGCGCGCAGGGAGAGGAAGGAGGCGCUGUUCAGCCGCUGCACCUCGCCGCCAUCGCUGGAGAUCUGGGAGUCGCCGUCGAUCGCCAUUGAGCCACGCCGAACCCAGAACUGCGAACGUGAGGGAUGCGAUGCAGGAGCCCGACGCGAGAAAGAGAGAGCGCGCGUGCGUGCGCAUGGGGAGGGCGGCGCUGCUGUCAUCGCCGUUGCUGAGCUGCCGUCGCCGUUCCUCCAGAGCCGCCACCUCUAGGUCUAUCACCGUUGAGCAGAUCCGCAAAGAGAGAGAGAGAAAACCUGGGAAGAGGCCGCUGCCGGAGGAGAAGCCAAUCGCGCCACCGUGCUCGGCCGCCGAGACACGUCGCUGCCGCCGCCGCCAGGGAGCUUCACCAGAGCUCUGUCAUUGCCCAGUUGUCGCCAUCAUGGUGGGUCGCGCUGCCAAGUUUUUGUUGCCGGGAUCUACUGCCGCUAUUACAGUUGCUGUCGUUAGAGAUUCAGGCCGCUGCCGUCGCUAAAAAAUUGUUGACGGAGCUGCUGCCUGGUCGAGUUGGAGUUGCGGCUGUUUCGCUUUGCUAUUUCAGAAUUAGUAUCCAAGCUUAUAUGUUGCGUUGAGGCUAUUUCUGCUAUUGAGAAAAGCAAGCGGAGCUGGGAUUUUGGUUGUUGGUUUCGGGCCGAGACGAAAGGCUUUCCUAUGACGCGUAGGGUUAUGGUUUUGCAUAUUUGAGAUGACUCACAAACUGUCUUCCCUAAAUCAAGUAACCUAAGGAGAAACUCCUCAAGCGUUUCCCACCGCCGCUGACCACCGCCGCAGGUCUUACCAUCGCCAACGACCGUCCAUCAUCCUUCACUGAUUCACACUCAUUCAAAUUGAUCGUUCUUCAUGUUUCCAUCCUCUCCCCUCAUAUCUGCAUCGCUAUUCUUGCUCGUUCGUGUCUCAGAUCUCCAUUGCUAGGUUCGGUUCCUAUCUUAAAGCAUCGUUAAUGGUGGCAGGAAAGCCAACGCGGAGGUUAAGGAGGUUCUUGAUCAGAUGCUCACUCGUUUGGCUCUCUGCAACGAUUCCAAGCUUGAGCCCUUACUCUCCAAGCUUCUCCCUCUCUGCAUACCUUCACUCUCCUUAAACUCCGCCGCUGUUUGCAACAAGGAUUUCAAAUUUGCAGUUGCUAGCAACUUAGGGCACAUUGGAGUUAGAAUAUAAGAGGGAAGAUAGUUUCAGCAUUGAAUUCAUGGAUUUUCAAUCCGAAGAGUUUUCACAGUGGAACUAGUAAGAGUGAAGGGUGGCAAGAUAACUAGAGAGCCUGGUCCUGUCAAGGGAGGCAGCACUGUCAUUGCAUUCAUUGAAGAUCCUGAUGGCUACAAAUUUGAACUUUUGGAAAGAGGCCCCACUCCCAAGCCCUUGUGCCAAGUGAUGCUUCGAGUCGGUGAUCUUAAGCGUUCUAUAGAAUUUUAUGAGAAGGCUUUUGGUAUGGAGCUCCUUCGCACUCGAGAUAAUCCAGAAUACAAGAUGUACAGAAGCAUGAGGGGUGACUUGGGAGGACAAGGUAGGAUUUCAUCAAGCCAACAUAGGAACCAAUCUUUUGAGGAACAUGAUGAUGGAUGUGUUAAAGAAGUGAAUGAUGUUAAUAAUAAUAAUAAUCAUAAUCAAAACUAUCAUCCAUGUUCACAAUCCAUUGGAAAAGAAUCCGAUUCUCUUCGGAUACAGUAACUUCUCCCUAAAAAGGACUAGAAUGAGAGAAACUAUUCCAUAUCUCAGAACCUGCAAUGCAGGAACCAAAGAACAGUGCCAUAUCCGUACUCCUUUUAUAAUUAUGCUUAUUCAACUCAACAACAACAACAUCAACCACCUCAUUCCACAGUUUUCCCUAUGCUGCCACCACUUCUUGGAAAUUUCCUCCAGAUCAUCUACUGAAAGCAGUUAUUUGUAGUUCAUGUUCCCUCCACCUCUCAAGUAUUUUAUUUUUUUGCUUGAAAAGGGGAAUUGACUGUUGUGGAUAUCCAAGAAAUCAAGAGUGGUGCCAUGCCCCAAGAUUUGUUUAUUGCUAGUAGUAGUACCUUAGUAGGUUGCAAAUCUUUGCCAUGCCAUAAGCUGCAGUAGUAUGGUACUUCUAGAAAAUUUACUUUGGUUCAAAGUAACAAAACAUUUAAGUACUGUGUUUGAAAAUUUAAUUAGAAUUUUUAAACUUAUUACUACAAGCUUGAUUAUAAUAUCUUCUAGUGUUCUUCUCACGGGCCACCACUGCAUUCUUCUUUUGCACCGUCGUGCGCCGUAUCAAACGUGCCAAAGAAUUGGAUGCAGUAUCUGGUUUAAAGAACGAGUUAGCAAAACGUCUUCUGAACCUGAAUGUUUCAUGCUUUAGUAUGGCUCCUGGUAAGGGAGUGUAAUGUUAAUAAUGUACAUAUACUGAACAAUUAUUAUUUAGUUUUAGCAAGGUAGCUGUUUCUUUAUGUACAGUGCUCUGGAGCUUUUUCUGGUUAAAAGAAAGAUUAAGAGACCCUUGUGGCUACAGGUUUCGAACUUUUCAAAGCAAAGCAAGAGCAAAGACCAACUUCAAAGUUAGGAGAACUGUGUCAUUAGUGUCAAGGCGAAAAAUAUUGCCAAGUUAUCAAUUCCUUGAAAAGUAGCCAAAGGUUUAUAGUUUUAGAUUCUUUAGUAUAUUCAUGAUUCAUGAUUUUCCUUCCUCAUUUACUUUUAAAUUCUUAGAUCAAUUACUAAAAACGAAAGCUAGGCUACUUUUAAAGGUGUACCUUUAGAUCAUUGCUAACACUUGUAUUGCUACAUUGAAAAAUGCCUUUACCGAUAAAUGUUAUAAUUGCCAUUAAAACCUUUUAGCGACAAAGCAUAAGACGGCUAAUGUCUAAUUGCCGGUAAAUGUAUUAAUGGCUAUUUUUAUUGCCGCUAAAAACAAAAAAUGGCCGUUAAAAAUUAUUUUUCUUGUAGUGUAUGUUGACUCAAUUAUAAAAACACCAAUAUGUUGCUGCCAUGGACCGAAUGAAGGUCACUUGACAUUGACGUGAGGACCAAAAUUCUCUACGAGAAUUUUUCGGGGUUAGUAAUUUUUAAAAGAGUGAAUACUCCAUCCGGC